UGACCACAUCAAAUUGAAACACCAGUUCCUGUAUGAUCAUUGAAGUUAAGCAAUGUCGAGCCUGGUCUGUACCUAGAUUGGUGAUCGUUUGGAAAUACCAGGUGCUGUAAG